CAUGUGUUCUCAUUGUUCAACUCCCACUUAUGAGUGAAAACAUGCAGUAUUUGGUUUUCUGUUCCUGUGUUAAUUUUCUGAGAACGAUGGCUUCUAGCUUCAUCCGUGUCCCUGCAAAGGACAUGAUCUCAUUCUUUUUUAUGGCUGCAUAGUAUCACAUGGUAUAUAUGUGCCACAUCUUCUUUAUCCAAUCUGUCAUUGAUGGACAUGUGGGUUGGUUCUAAGUCUUUGACAUUGUAAAUAGUGCUGCAAUAAACCUAUGUGUGUAUGUGUCUUUAUAGUAGAAUGAUUUAUAAUCUUUUGGGUAUAUACCCGGUAAUGGGAUUGCUGGGCCAAAUGGUAUUUCUGGUUCUAGAUCCUUGAGGAAUUGCCACAUUGUCUUCCACAAUGGUUGAACUAAUUUACAGUCCCACCAUCAGUGUAAAAGCAUUUUAUUUCUCCACAGCCUCGCCAGCAUCUAUUGUUUCCUGACUUUUUAAUAAUCGUCCAAAAAGAGCCCGUAUAGCCAAGACAAUUGUAAGCAAAAAGAACAAAGCUGGAGGUAUCAUGCUAUCUGACUUGAAACUAUAUUACAAGGCUACAGUAACCAAAACAGCAUGGUACUGGUACCAAAACAGAUAUAUAGACCAAUGGAACAGAACAGAGACCUCAGAAAUAACACUGCACAUCUACAACCAUCUGAUCUUCAACAGAGCUGACAAAAACAUGCCAUGGGGAAAGAUUCCCUACUUAAUAAAUUAUGCUGAGAAAACUGGCUAGCCAUGUGCAGAAAGCUGAAACUGGAUCCCUUCCUUACACCUUAUGCAAAAAUUAACUCAAGAUAGAUUAAAGACUUAAAGGUAAAACCAAAACCAUAAAAACCCUAGAAGAAAACCCAGGCAAUACCAUUCAGGACAUAGGCAUGGGCAAAAACCUCAUGACUAAAACACCAAAAGCAAUGGCAACAAAACCUAAAAUUGACAAAUGAGAUCUAAUUAAACUAAAGAGCUUCUGCACAGCAAAAGAAAUUAUCAUCAGAGUGAACAGGCAACCUACAGAAUGGAAGAAAAUUUCUACAAUCUACCUAUCUGACAAAGGUCUAAUAUCAGAAUCUACAAGGAACGUAAACAAAUUUACAAGAAAAAACAACACCAUCAAAAACUGGGCAAAGGAUAUGAACAGACACUUCUCAAAAGAAGACACUUAUGAAGCCAAGAAGCAUAUGAAAAAAAGUUCAUUAUCACUGUUCAUUAGAGAACUGCAAAUCAAAACCGCAAUGAGAUACCAUCUCAUGCCAGUCAGAAUGGCGAUUAUUAAAAAGUCAUCUCAUCUUUAAUCUGAGGCUCAUUCCUUUCAUUUGUCCUCGGUAGACCAACCCAAUUAUCUUUGUCCUGGAAUCAGCCGUGAAGUUGAAAAGUAAUCCAGGAGACAAAGUGUCUAUACAUAUUCCUAGCAGAUUUUAGUCCUAUGGAAAAAAAUACAUUUAGAGAAAGUGGAAUUUUCCUAAGGAGAACAAUGUAAUUUUAAAACAAAAAUAAAAGGGAACAAAUUUUCACCAAAUAAUUAAGCCAUAAAAAAUAUAUGCAUUAUUUAAGUAAAAAGCUUUAUUUUUUUCCCUCAGUGUCUGAAUCUUCUUUAUUGUUUACCAGGAUUCAUGAUUCCUUUUGUAACUUGUUCUCAGUCAUUUAUUCAGUUGAGUAAUUACACUUUGUCAGACA
rnacentral:lncRNA from 1 species